UACGGAGGAGGCAAGCGUUAUCCGGAAUUAUUGGGCGUAAAGCGUCUGUAGAUGGUUUUGUCAGUCUGCUGUCAAAGCACAGGGCUUAACCCUGUAAAGGCAGUGGAAACUACAAGACUAGAGUGCAGUAGGGGCAGAGGGAAUUCCCAGUGUAGCGGUGAAAUGCGUAGAGAUUGGGAAGAACAUCCGUGGCGAAAGCGCUCUGCUGGACUGCAACUGACAUUGAGGGACGAAAGCUAGGGGAGCGAAUGGG
rnacentral:rRNA from 1 species